GUCCUGGCAUAGUGCGUGCUGUUUCGGUUGGUGUGGUUCGAAGCCUACGGGCGUGAAGCAAAUGAGACUUCUUUAAUGAUCGCUGCCGUCCCAGUUUCGUGACGUGUUGUGUGACAGAGCGCGCGUGACAUGUGUGGUGAUGCUGAAGGACGCUGUAGCGUCGUCAGAGAUUUGAGUGUCGGCUGGGGUGACGACGGCGUGAACUGGUACAGCAAAUAAAUUAACAACGGCCAUCUUCGUGGGCUAUAUGAACGAAUGGACCUUGUGCUGGCCGUACAAAAUCCAUGGCAUGAGACACGAUGGAGCGACGAUAGUCGAGGAAAAAAUGUGUACGAAAGAAGAAAUAACAACGUGGAAACGGGCCGAUUUGCUCUGCGCUGGCAGUCAGAGCAGACAGACAGGGCAGCGGGCUGUCGGAGCAGUACGGCAGCCGUAUAUACUUCAUCAAAAUCAAGAGCCGUAUGUUUACAGUGAGUCCGCAAGGGCGUCUUCUGCUGCCCGACCUUGUUUGCAGCCCAGCACAGGAGGAUGCCGUAAUCCGAGUUCUCCCGGGGUACAUAGGAAGCGAUACUUCUGGUCCCUUCCGUUAUGAAAGUUUGAACGUCGUGACUCCGUUCAGGGCCGCGAAAGGACCACUGGAAGGUCACGUCUUCCGGAUGCGAAUCCACUUCACAGGUGACUUGAAGCAUCUCGUGUGCAGCCGCUGGGUACACGGUACGUUGCUUCGCCGAACACACGGGGGAAACUAUAAAAACAAAAUAUUACGGUACUCACAAUAGAGGUCCAGCGUCGUGGAAGUGCUGACAGUGUAAGUUCCGUUGUGGUUGGAGGCCUUGCAUACCAGGCUACUAUUGAGGUCGUGCCUACGGAUUUGAGGGAUCUCCAGCGUUGAUCGCGUCACGCCGUGUGAUGAACUGGAGACUGUUCCACGAACGAGUUCCGUACCGUUACGCCACCAGGACACCGUUGGUUCCGGGACUCCUGCAUUACUGGCAGAGGCAAAAGGACAUACGUGGUGAUAUUGGCAAAAUGCUCGUGCAAAGUGACAUCUAAUACAGGUUCCAGGAAUGCAGUCUAGGGCAGCAAGAGGCAAAGUGAGAAAAGACCAUUUUACCGAGAAGCGAUGCGGAAACAAGGCCGAAGGAACACAAGAGAUAGAAGAGAAAAGGAUACUUCCCGAGGAGAAUAAAUACAUAUGCAAUGCGAAGGGACAUCUCCCCGCCUUCGUCUGACACGAUACACCCCAAGGGAAUCGGAAGAAGCAGAAAAGCAUAAAAAAUCAUCUCGAUUACCAAACGGCGCGCGCUUCCAGGGACCUGUUGCCUGAAACUUUGCGUUAUGUCUUCUUCUCUUUUUGCCUCACUCCAUUAAUCAAGGCGCUCCGUUGUUCCUUCAGUUCGCAAUUUCCAUUGAAGAGUCUCUUUAGGACAGCCCUCCGUAUAAUAUAAAAACCUCUGGAGUAUUUAGGUGUGCUGGGUUAAUGUCUCACGAACUGCAAGGUCUUUGUGAAGUUCAAAAUGGGCGAUCGA